rnacentral:autocatalytically_spliced_intron from 1 species
AACCGCCGUGUACCGAACGGUACGCACGGUGGUGUGAGAGGUCGGUAGGUAAAUUAAUUACCUACCUCCUACUCGAU